rnacentral:rRNA from 1 species
AAUAUUACACGACUCUCGGCAACGGAUAUCUAGGCUCUCGCAUCGAUGAAGAACGUAGCAAACUGCGAUACUUGGUGUGAAUUGCAGAAUCCCGUGAACCAUCGAGUCUUUGAACGCAAGUUGCGCCCGAAGCCAUUACGCCGAGGGCACGUCUGCCUGGGCG